GACGAACGCUGGCGGCGUGCUUAACACAUGCAAGUCGAGCGGUAAGGCCUCUCGGGGGUACACGAGCGGCGAACGGGUGAGUAACAAGUGGGUUAACUGCCCUCAGCUCUGGGAUAAGCCUGGGGAACUGGGGUUAAUACCGGAUAAGAACUUUCCUCGCCUGGGGGUUGGUGGGAAGUUUUUUCGGCUGGGGAUGGGCCCGCGGCCUAACAGCUUGUUGGUGGGGUGAUGGCCUACCAAGGCGACGACGGGUAGCCGGCCUGAGAGGGCGACCGGCCACACUGUGACUGAGACACGGCCCAGACUCCUACGGGAGGCAGCAGUGGGGAAUAUUGCGCAAUGGGCGGAAGCCUGACGCAGCGACGCCGCGUGGGGGAUGACGGCCUUCGGGUUGUAAACCUCUUUCGACCCCGACGAAUUUGGACGGUAGGGGUAGAAGAAGCACCGGCCAACUACGUG
rnacentral:rRNA from 1 species